rnacentral:rRNA from 1 species
GAUGAACGCUGGCGGCGUGCCUAAUACAUGCAAGUCGAGCGAACAGACGAGUAGCUUGCUCCUCUGACGUUAGCGGCGGACGGGUGAGUAACACGUGGCUAACCUACCUAUAAGACUUGGAUAACUUCGGUAAACCGUAGCUAUUACCGUAUAUUAUAUUUCACCUCAUGGUUCAUUAGUGAAAGACGUUUUUGCUGUUACUUAUAGGUGGAUCCGCGCCGCAUUAGCUAGUUGGUAAGGUAACGGCUUACCAAGGCAACGGUGCGUAGCCGAACUGAGAGGGUGAUCGGCCACGCUGGAACUGAGACACGGUCCAGACUCCUACGGGAGGCAGAAGUAGGGAAGCGGAAGAAAAGGGAAAAAGCCUGACGGAGAAACGCCGAGUGAGUGAGGAAGGUCAUCGGAUCGGAAAACUAUGUUAUUAGGGAAGAACAAAUGUGUAAGUAACUAUGCACGUCUUGACGGUACCUAAUCAGAAAGCCACGGCUAACUACGUG